GGGCAACUAGUAUAGUGGUCAGUACACUUCGUUGUGGCCUGUCUCGUCAGACAAUCCCGAAGAAACCCAGGUUCGAUUCCUGGGUUGCCCA